AAAAACAUCGCCUCCUGCUAACCCUUCAACGUAUAGGAGGUCUUACCUGCCCAGUGACAUUCGUGUUAAACGGCCGCGGUAUUUUGACCGUGCUAAGGUAGCGCAAUCACUUGUUUUUUAAAUGAAGACCUGUAUGAAUGGUGAAACGAGGGCUUAACUGUCUCCCCCUCCCAGUCAAUGAAACUGAUCUGUUCGUGCAGAAGCGAACAUAUACCUACAAGACGAGAAGACCCUUUGGAGCUUUAGACAAAGGCCAACUAUUCCCAACCCCUACAUUAAAUAGGACAAAACGAAAUACCACCUGACCAAAGUCUUCGGUUGGGGCGACCAUGGGGAAAAACAAAACCCCCACGUGGAAUAGACCAUUCUCUUUAUCCGAGAGAAAUAUCUCUAAGUCACAGAACAUCUGACCAUAAUGAUCCGGCCAAUCGGCCGAUUAACAAACCAAGUUACCCUAGGGAUAACAGCGCAAUCCCCUUCAAGAGUCCUUAUCGACAAGGGGGUUUACGACCUCGAUGUUGGAUCAGGACAUCCUAAUGGCGCAGCCGCUAUUAAGGGUUCGUUUGUUCAACGAUUAAAGUCCUACGUGAUCUGAG
rnacentral:rRNA from 1 species